AUGUCGAGGAACUACGGAAGAGUGUUGAGGCAGCAUGAGAGAGUACAGAUAAUGAAUGGGAACCGGCGGCUUGGGCUGCCCCCAGUUAUAAGUGUUCAAGGGGCGGAUGGGGUGAAUGCCCAGCUUCCAGCAGUGGACCCUGAAGAUUUAGAACUAGAUGAGCCUAUCAUCGUUCCUCAGCUCAGGCAUGAAGAAAUUCCAGUAGCAUGUUUCGCACCCACAAGAGCUAUGUCUUUCGAAGCAUUCAUAGAUCUGGUCACACCAGACAGGGGUGGAGCCUCGCCAAUGACGCUGUUCCGGAUGCUUCAGUCAACACCAGAUUCAGCUUCUUAUGUAUGGCACAGAGAAUUCAUUCCAGAUAUUGCAUCCAUGUCAUUGUUGGUGGCAAGAUUUGUGGAGGCAGCAGCGGCAAUUCAAGGUGGCAUAUGUUUCCCCAGAUUGAUUUGA
rnacentral:rRNA from 1 species